GAUGAACGCCGGCGGUGUGCCUAAUACAUGCAAGUCGAGCGCACUGGCCCAACGGAAAUGACGUGCUUACACUGAUUUGACGUUGGAUUCCCAGUGAGCGGCGGACGGGUGAGUAACACGUGGGCAACCUGCCCCAAAGCGGGGGAUAACAUUUGGAAACAGGUGCUAAUACCGCAUAACUUGGAAAACCACAUGGUUUUCCAAUAAAAGAUGGUUUCGGCUAUCACUUUGGGAUGGGCCCGCGGUGCAUUAGCUAGUUGGUAAGGUAACGGCUUACCAAGGCGAUGAUGCAUAGCCGAGUUGAGAGACUGAUCGGCCACAAUGGAACUGAGACACGGUCCAUACUCCUACGGGAGGCAGCAGUAGGGAAUCUUCCACAAUGGGCGCAAGCCUGAUGGAGCAACACCGCGUGAGUGAAGAAGGGUUUCGGCUCGUAAAACUCUGUUGUUGGAGAAGAACGUGCGUAAGAGUAACUGUUUACGCAGUGACGGUAUCCAACCAGAAAGUCACGGCUAACUACGUGCCAGCAGCCGCGGUAAUACGUAGGUGGCAAGCGUUAUCCGGAUUUAUUGGGCGUAAAGCGAGCGCAGGCGGUUGCUUAGGUCUGAUGUGAAAGCCUUCGGCUUAACCGAAGAAGUGCAUCGGAAACCGGGCGACUUGAGUGCAGAAGAGGACAGUGGAACUCCAUGUGUAGCGGUGGAAUGCGUAGAUAUAUGGAAGAACACCAGUGGCGAAGGCGGCUGUCUGGUCUGCAACUGACGCUGAGGCUCGAAAGCAUGGGUAGCGAACAGG
rnacentral:rRNA from 1 species